GUUCCUGUAUAUCUUUAUCUGCAGGACUUUCAGAUGUAAUGACUAGACACUAAAGAAGUAGGAAAUAAGUCAAAACAGGGAGUGUUCCUGUAUGCACACCAGUUUCUUAAUGCUGUAUAUCUUUAUCUCCAGUGUCUAAAACUUCAACGAAAUAGAGGGACAGGGAGGGGUUCUAUACAUACAUCAAUACUAUACAUUUAUCUGUUAGACUUUGUUACCGUUACUGAGAAUACAGGAACAUAAGAGAGCUGCAUAAGGCCAGUUACUAAAACCAUAAGAAAAUUAGGAAAAGCUGCAAAAAAGCCAUAAGGAAAGAAGCAAAAAAAAAAAAAAAAAGUAAAAAAGAUCAAAUAAAGAAAAAAAAAAAAAGGAAAGAAAAAGAAAAAAAGAAAAGGACCAAAAAUAAAAAGAAGAAAAAAAAAUAAAAGAAAGGAGAAAGGCAGGCAAGAAAAGAAAACAAGAGAAAGAAGGAACGAGAAGAAAGAAAAAAAAAAUGAACAAAUGAUCCUUUAAUGCAGCAAGUUAAGUAAACAGUCACCAAUCAGUCACCAGUCUCAAGGCCACAGUCAUCACCACCAGUCACCACCAUUACUCUACACUACGUCAGGAGCGAACCACCGAAACACUACAAGAAGAUUCUCUGCUUCACGAAGCGUCGGUCUCUCCUCGAAGCACAGAGUCUGCAAACAAGGUCAGCAGGACAUUAGGUCAACAGUUAAUUGUCAUAUUAGUACACUGCAAGAGGUCAGGUCAGGUUAGGUUAAGACAGGUCAGGGUAGCGUUUGUUUGUGUGUGUGUACUGCUUUGGCUGAUGGUCAUUUGAAUACUUGAGUCAUGUGAAGCUCCCUUAUAAGUCAAACGUAGUCAUAUCAGCCAGCUUAUGCUCAGAAACGCUUUGCUCUCUCACUACGACUGUUUUCAAAGGCCACAGAGAUGCUUAUCCGAAUUCUCAAGAGUAUUCCUCCAGUCAAUAAUGCAAAAAUCUUGUUAACCUGCCACUAGAGCCAAGAAAACACCAUUAACUUCCCGUGACACUGCAACUAGAGCCUAUUGAGAGUGGAGGUGUGAGCAGGAGUACCGAAACUGUUAUUCAUUCACUCAUCUGUUCGAUCACUUUCUACCUUCACAGGUCCCACUCUUAGUUCUGAAGGCUGAGCGUGCGUGGCGUUGCGUGUUACGUGUUUAGUGUUUGUGUGAAGUGAUGAAGUGAGAAAAAGAAGCGAAAAGUGAAGGAAACAGAGAAACAUUAUUCAUAUGAAGUGCUGAGGCGUUUUAGAAGCGAGAGGAAACGAAGGAAACACAGUAACAAGAGAGAAACUGACAAAAGGCCAUCCUUCGUAAAACUGAAGCCAUCCAGUCCUUGCCGGCGAACCCUGUGGUGCGGGGAGCCUCCAUCCACGCCUUCUGCAGCGCCUCCGUCAGCUACCAUGCCUGGAAGGACAAAACAAUAAGACUACAGCUACCUGCCCUUCCCAGUCCACCCUUCCUACCUACCCGAGGACGACGCGCAGCUGAGGGUCAAGCCAGCGGGAGGGUGAUAGGACGGCCGCCACCUCCUCCAGAAGACUAUUACCUGAAGUACACGCGUUAGAAGCCCCAGGGGUGUUGCGAGGAUGCACGUGGCGGUUUGUGUUGCGGAGGCGGGCCUGCCUUGGAGGACGCUAGAGGCUGUACUCGUUCUGCGGCAUUUAUGUUUGGUUGAAAUAUGACCCGGUGUGUGGCAACGACGACAUAACCUACUUCAACGUGUGCGCUCUGUAUCUGAGGAACAAAGCCAGCCACGCACCUGUCCACGUCGUUCACACAGGUGCUGUUCCCUUUUCUGAAUGGAAAAAAGAAGAGGAAGAAGAGGAGGAGAAUGGAAGACCAAGAGGAAUAACAAGCAAUCAUAAAGGGAAAGAAGAAGAGAAGGAAAAUACAACAAGGGGAAUAAAUGAUAAGUAAUGGUGAGGAAGAGAAGAGCAGAACAAAAACAAGAAUAAUAAUAAUAAGUAAUGGUAAAGUUUUAUAUGCAAGAGGAACAUGUGGGGAGCUGGGAAGAAUGACAGCCCACAAUAGACCAGAAUGUACAGCCGAUGUGCAUGCGUAAGUGUGUCAUGGCCUUGGGAACUAGAAGCGGAAGGCAAAGCAACAAGAGCACCUAAUUGACUGUCACCAUUUCCUGCAGGUUUGUUUAGUUAACUAAUGUCAAAAACCUUCACUGUCAUCAAGGCCUCACAUCUCUGCAUUCUUGACUAUUCUAUUAUGAUACUCAAUAAAGAUGUUUGUGAAGUUUUGCUAUAUACAGAAGAGGUGAGUGGAGUUAACAAACAAAUUAAAACUGAUGUGGGUUUCUACCAAUCCUUAUUAAUCUUUUCAUCUUCCUCAUUCAUUCAAUCAUCUUUCCUCUAAUUUUACUUCAUUGAUUCUCUAAAAUGCCAGAACUCCCAUAGUAGUUCCUCUGCACUUCCUCAUUCUCCUUUUAUUUGUUAGUUAGCAGGACAAGAACUAAGGGUGUUUGUGCGUGCAGGGAUGUGAUGGGGAGAUAUGACUAACCUAGAAUAUUGAGGCUGAAUGGUGAAG